CUUGAGGUCAGGAGAUGGAGACCAGCCUGGGCAAAAUGGAGACGGGUUUGGCUCUGUGAUUCAUCAGAAAUAAGAAAAACAAACACUGUAAAUGGAGAACUUGAAAAAGAGGUGGGCACCAUCUCCCCACCCAAGAGAAUGGAUUUAAGAGGAAAUUUGUUUAUGGGAUGAAGUUUUAAAAGGCGACCUGGAAAAUUUAGCAAAGAUGUAAAUAAACAACUCUUCCUUGGAUUGCAUUAGGCUUCAGAAUAAAUAUAUUAACCAGCUUCAGUCAAAGUCUGCCUAGAAUCUGACCCUGACAAGACCCAGUGACUAGUGCUGCUCCGAACCUUCCCCACCAACAGCAGGCAAUUUUCUCUGUGGCAAAGCUACCUCGAAACAGGCAUCCAGGCUUCCCUCCCACGAAGUGAAGAUGAGAAAACUGAGUCUCAGAAUGGACAAGCUCACAGAUGGCAAGUGGUAGAGCAGACUUCACACAUAGCCAUCUGAGUGAGAUGGGAAGCUGAUCCUCCAGCCCUGAUCAAGCCUUCAAAUGACUGCACCUCCAGCUGACAGAUUACCAAAAGCAACCUCCUUCCAGAAGACCUUGAGCCAAAACCACUCAGCUAAGCUACUUCCAGAUCCCUGAUCCUCGGAAACUGUGCGAGACAAUAAAUGUUUAAAUGGCCACCCACUUUGGAAUAAAGAGGACAUAUAAUUUGCCUAAGGUCACAUAGCACUCUCUAAAUCAGUACAGUAUUUUAGACAAAGCUUCAACUUUGCACUUUUAUGGGUCAUUUUGAUAUAAGACUACAAGGAUAUCUCCUCCCAUGACAAACUUGACUUCAUUUACAACAAAAGGCCAAGCAAGAUACAGUACACUGUGGGGAUAAAUGGUACUCACUGAGGACAGGAAUAUGCUGACAUUAUCUCAAUUUCCUCCUCCCUCCUGUUGUUCUCCUUUGGAUGCUUUCCUGGACUAUAGGGAGAAGGAAAAUAGAGAAAGGCCAACUGCGACUAGGCCAGAGAUCAGAUGUUACCUUGUAGGAAGCAUCUCAUUCUAACCUUAAGUACUCUCUUGAUGAAGUACGGGGCCAAGAGAUUUUGGAAUUCUACCACACAAGGUUGCUCAGCAUUCCAAGAAGUAUUGAUAACUCUUCAAGAGCAAAAGUCAUUUAAAUUAAACUUCUCUGGCCGGGCAUGGUAGCUCAUAUCUGUAAACCCAGCACUUUGGGA
rnacentral:lncRNA from 1 species